GCCUCUGUAGCUCAGUAGGUAGAGCGACUGGCUGUUAACCAGUAGGUCGUAGGUUCGAGUCCUGCCGGAGGCG
rnacentral:tRNA from 1 species